rnacentral:misc_RNA from 1 species
GUUCUCUUGUGUUAAGUCGUGUGCCUAAAAGCAGCGUUGAUUAUAUCAUUCGUUAAAAUUAAUACGCAAUAAGCUUCGGUUCUAGAACGAGCCGAAAAUGCCGGGUUUUAGUAGCGUUGGCACAUUUAAAAUUUUCAUCGGUAAUUUAGCCGAUAAGACAUCAAAUGCUGACAUUAAACCAUUGUUUGAAAAAUAUGGGAAGGUUGUAGAAUGUGACGUGGUCAAAAAUUAUGGAUUUGUGCAUAUGGAAAAUGAAGAAGCAGGGAGGAAUGCAAUACAAAAUUUGAAUGGACAUAUAGUCCAUGGGCAGCCAAUUAAAUGCGAGGCUGCAAAGAGUCGUAAAGGCCCCAAUACCCCAACAACAAAAAUAUUUGUUGGCAAUCUCACAGAUAAUACAAAAGCACCCCAAGUGCGCGAACUCUUUGCCAAAUAUGGCACAGUUGUAGAAUGUGAUAUUGUCAGAAAUUAUGGAUUCGUACAUCUAGAAGCAACAGGUGAUGUCAACGAUGCCAUCAAGGAACUGAAUGGACAAAUGGUGGAUGGUCAGCCGAUGAAGGUUCAAAUUUCUACAAGCAGAGUACGACAAAGGCCAGGAAUGGGAGAUCCUGAACAGUGCUACCGAUGCGGUCGCGGCGGCCAUUGGUCCAAGGAAUGCCCGAAAGGAGGAAUGGGAGGAGGUCCGGAUAGAAAUGGAUACAGAGACCGAAUGUUUGGACGCGACCCGUAUCCUCCACCGCCGCCACCACCGUUCCUUCGGGAUCGGUUAAUGGGUGGUGGCCGCUUUGGAGAUUACGAAAGCUACUAUGACAGGAGAGGCUUCGAGGACACCAGGGAUCUCUACGAGAGGCGGUUUACGGGUAUGACAGGGCCCUGUGACAUGGGAAGUUCCAUGUGCGGGCUUGACUUUCCACCAAUGACAAUGCCACCUCUACCCCCAAGACGAGAUCCAAUGCCUCCUAUGCCUCCUCUAGGUAUGGGAUCCAUGCGCGACACUGGCUUCUCCCGUGGUAACGAGUAUGGCAUGUUCAGCCGCCGAUCACCCCCCCCGAGUGGCAACAAUGGCCGGUUCAGUGCACCUCAGGCUGCGUACCAUCUUUGUCCAUGAAUGCGGGCAACCCUAGAGAGACAGUCCCGGGCCAGCGUUCAAAUCGUGCAAGAACCGGGAUUACGAGGGCCAUCGCCGUCGCGCCGGUUCGCACCAUACUAAAUCGUCGCGUCGGGCUCGGAUCGGUCUCUGUCGGUCUGUCUCUCUGUGUGUCGGGUCUGUGUCUGUCGCUAGCAGGAAGCCUCGGGACCGAGAUACUCUUGGCCGUCUAUGUCUCUGUCGAUCUGCACGCGCGAAGAACUACCAUUCGCCCGCUCAAUCGGAAAACAUGUAUUCUCCCCGUAAUGCGCUAUUUAGACGAGAAUCAUCCCUCGCCCAAUCUCCCAAAAUAAAAAAAAAAAAUAAAAAAAAAAAAGAAAAAAACGAAA